rnacentral:misc_RNA from 1 species
GAUGAAGAACGUAGCGAAAUGCGAUAAGUAAUGUGAAUUGCAGAAUUCAGUGAAUCAUCGAAUCUUUGAACGCACAUUGCGCCCGCCAGUAUUCUGGCGGGCAUGCCUGUUCGAGCGUCAUUACAACCCUCAGGCCCCCGGGCCUGGCGUUGGGGAUCGGCGGAGCCCCCCGUGGGCACACGCCGUCCCCCAAAUGCAGUGGCGGUCCCGCCGCAGCUUCCAUCGCGUAGUAGCUAACACCUCGCGACUGGAGAGCGGCGCGGCCACGCCGUAAAACACCCAACUCUUCUGAAGUUGACCUCGAAUCAGGUAGGAAUACCCGCUGAACUUAAGCAUAUCAAUAAGUGGAGGA